ensembl:lncRNA
AUGAAUGUAAACAUACAGCAAGUCGAACGAGAAGAAACAGAGUUGGGAGAAAGAAAAAAUAUGUUAAAAUCGCGAAAAGGUUGUGGGAUUUACAGGGAUACGCUAAGUAGGGAUGCCAGGGAUCGAUAUCUUCGGCUACCUUGUUUGUUUUGUGAGCGCCUACACUUCAGAACAGUUCCGAAGCUACAAGUCAUUGGAGUCUCAUGUGCAGUUCACAAAUGGAUGGGUUAAGGAGCUGCAGAUCAUAAAGCCGGCAAACAGUAUACAGUAAUCCGGACAAAGGUAAACUGCACUCCGCCUAGUUGCUAGUUUAGUAACCGUUAGUGCUAACAACCAUUCACAUGUACUUUUAACUAACUUAUGUGUUUCAAAAAGUUUAGUUAGUAGCUGUCAACCCUCCCGUUUUUUUCCGGGGUUCUCAUGUAUUUGAGCUCUUUUCCCGCUGUCUUCCCGUUGUAGUAUUUUCCUGUAAAAUAUCCCGUUAGCCCUUCCAUCGGACCUGUCAGUCUUUGUGCUGUUGUCCUGUUGCUACACAGUUGCCCUUCCAGCAAAACAGAUAUUUUUCAAACCAUCGUUUUGCUUAACGUUACUUGAAAGCAACCUUAGCGUGAUAUUGGCCUUUUUAAGAUAACAGCGUGGUUGUUGUGAGAGCACGAUUUCACACCAAUGUAAGCAAAGUCAUGUUAGACAUAGCUUCACAAUCUCGCUUAGUUAAUGCAGCAGUUUUGUAGUACGAAUUUUUGCUGUCAGCAGAGGGAUAGCAACAGAAAGAUGAAUGUAGAAAUUUUCCCGUAUUUUGGAUGAGUAACCCAGGAAAUUUCCCUUAUUUUCAGUGUUUACUUAAGCUAUAUAAAUUAAUAUUCAGAUAUUAUACCUCACUUGGUCUCCGUGGUCGCGCCUCCAAGCAGGAAAGCAGUGGAAAGUUAAUCCAUUUUUUUUCAAAGGGCGAUUAUGUGUUGCGCUAUUACACCCCACAAUACAGCAAUGGUUUACCAUGGUUGAAAUUGAUUUUUAAUUAAUCAAAUUAAGACACACGGCUGCGAAGGAGUAUGUCUAAACACUGCGCAGUAGUCCGAGUAGCAGUAAAGAAGGCCAUCAACAUGGCGGCCACGCCAAGUAAUGACGUCACGACGGCCAAGCCCUAUUUGAUGUUGUUCUGGCGGCAACAAACCUCAGUACUAAAGGAGGCGAUAAUUUCAAAUGUCUAUUGCGUUCAAUCCGGAUGUGUUAUUAUUCUGGUUAGUUACUAUAAUUAUGUUGUCUAAACAGUUCAUGUUUAACUAUGUUCUUGAACUGUUGCUCUGCCAUGAAAAUAGGUGAAGAAAAAACAAUGUAGACAUUAACGCUACGUCAGCCCAUUUGAAGCAAUGUGUACCUGCAUUUGCUUCAUGAAUUUGCCGUGUUUUGAAUCGUGCUCCUGAAACGAUGGCUGCUCCAAAAGGUAAACUGUUGAGUAUGGCAGCAUCACAUUUAUCAGUAACUUAACGAAAAGGUAAAAUACAUUAACAUAUAGCAAUAGCUUACAUGAAAUAACCAUAAACAAUACUUUUAUAACAUUUUAAAU